ACAAACUUGGUCAUUUAGAGGAAGUAAAAGUCGUAACAAGGUCUCCGUAGGUGAACCUGCGGAGGGAUCAUUAUUGAAUUUCAAAGUCGGUUGGAUGUGCUGGUGGUCAACACAUGUGCACUCCUUCCGCAAAUCCACUCACCCCUGUGAACUUUUGGCCUAAAGUCUCGCAUGCUAAUCGUGUGCAGCCGGCGUCCACCUGUGGGUCGUCUGAGGCUUGGGUCCUUUUACACACUCUGAAUGUCAUCGUAUGUUCUUCGUGCUUAAUUGCGCAUCUAAAACAACUUUCAACAACGGAUCUCUUGGCUCUCGCAUCGAUGAAGAACGCAGC
rnacentral:misc_RNA from 1 species